GGAUUGCCCUAGUAACGGCGAGUGAAGCGGCAACAGCUCAAAUUUGAAAUCUGGCCCUCUUUGGGGGUCCGAGUUGUAAUUUGCAGAGGGUGCUUUGGCGUCGGCAGCGGUCUAAGUUCCUUGGAACAGGACAUCACAGAGGGUGAGAAUCCCGUACGUGGUCGCCUGCCUUCGCCGUGUAAAGCCCCUUCGACGAGUCGAGUUGUUUGGGAAUGCAGCUCUAAAUGGGAGGUAAAUUUCUUCUAAAGCUAAAUACUGGCCAGAGACCGAUAGCGCACAAGUAGAGUGAUCGAAAGAUGAAAAGCACUUUGGAAAGAGAGUCAAACAGCACGUGAAAUUGUUGAAAGGGAAGCGCUUGCAGCCAGACUUGCCCGCAGUUGCUCACCCGGGUCCGCCCGGGGCACUCUUCUGCGGGCAGGCCAGCAUCAGUUUGGGCGACCGGAUAAAGGCCUCUGUCAUGUAUCUUCCUUCGGGAUGACCUUAUAGGGGAGGCGUAAUGCGGCCAGCCCGGACUGAGGUCCGCGCAUCUGCUAGGAUGCUGGCGUAAUGGCUGUAAGCGG
rnacentral:rRNA from 1 species